AUAUUAUCCAUGCAGUUAAUGGAUGCAGUGACUACAUACUCAUAUGAGUCACUCAUUUCGGAAAUCUAUAUUAAAGUCCCUGAAGGGCUUCAUUUCCGAAUCCAAAAACAAAUCGCAACAUGUAUUGUGUAAAACUUCAUAAGUCACUCUAUGACUAUAAAUAGUCGUGAAUCAUAAGGUACUACCGACUAGACGAGUUCCUUCUUCAGAGGAUUACUCAAAGGAUGAUGAUUGUUCAUG
rnacentral:lncRNA from 1 species